ACGGGAGGCAGCAGUGGGGAAUAUUGGUCAAUGGGGGAAACCCUGAACCAGCGACGCCGCGUGAAGGAAGAAGGUUUUCGGAUUGUAAACUUCAGUCGGCAGGGACGAGGAAGGACGGUACCUGCAGAGGAAGCCACGGCUAACUACGUGCCAGCAGCCGCGGUAAUACGUAGGUGGCAAGCGUUGUCCGGAAUUACUGGGUGUAAAGGGUGCGUAGGCGGGGGCGCAAGUCAGAUGUGAAAGCUAUCGGCUCAACUGAUAAACUGCAUUUGAAACUGUGCUUCUUGAGUGUGGGAGAGGAUAGCGGAAUUCCUAGUGUAGCGGUGAAAUGCGUAGAUAUUAGGAGGAACACCAGUGGCGAAGGCGGCUAUCUGGACCAUAACUGACGCUGAGGCACGAAAGCGUGGGUAGCAAACAGGAUUAGAUACCCUGGUA
rnacentral:rRNA from 1 species